AACGAACGCUGGCGGCAUGCCUAACACAUGCAAGUCGAACGAGACCUUCGGGUCUAGUGGCGCACGGGUGCGUAACGCGUGGGAACCUGCCCUUAGGUUCGGAAUAACUCCCCGAAAGGGGUGCUAAUACCGGAUCAUGUCUUCUGACCAAAGAUUUAUCGCCUUUGGAUGGGCCCGCGUUGGAUUAGCUAGUUGGUAGGGUAAAAGCCUACCAAGGCGACGAUCCAUAGCUGGUCUGAGAGGAUGAUCAGCCACACUGGGACUGAGACACGGCCCAGACUCCUACGGGAGGCAGCAGUGGGGAAUAUUGGACAAUGGGCGAAAGCCUGCUCCAGCAAUGCCGCGUGAGUGAUGAAGGCCUUAGGGUUGUAAAGCUCUUUUACCCGGGAUGAUAAUGACAGUACCGGGAGAAUAAGCUCCGGCUAACUCCGUG
rnacentral:rRNA from 1 species